UGGGCCGAGCUGGAUUUGAACCAGCGUAGGCGUAUUGCCAACGAAUUUACAGUCCGUCCCCAUUAACCGCUCGGGCAUCGACCC
rnacentral:tRNA from 1 species